AAAUUGAAGAGUUUGAUCAUGGCUCAGAUUGAACGCUGGCGGCAGGCCUAACACAUGCAAGUCGAGCGGCAGCGGGAAAGUAGCUUGCUACUUUUGCCGGCGAGCGGCGGACGGGUGAGUAAUGCCUGGGGAUCUGCCCAGUCGAGGGGGAUAACUACUGGAAACGGUAGCUAAUACCGCAUACGCCCUACGGGGGAAAGCAGGGGACCUU
rnacentral:rRNA from 1 species